ACAUCCUUUGGUGAAUGGAUAUCCUUGGCAUAACCCUAAGCAUAUGCCAAUGUUUCAGUGGUUUAUUCCAUCUUCUUUGCUAUAAAGACUGCUAUACACACACAAAUUAGAGGCAAUUCAAGACACAUGCACCAAUUCAAGGUGAAAACUUAAGCAAAUCAGCAAUAGGGCACCUCUCUCCUGGCAGGUAUUUUUGGAGCUACCAAAAAUCAAUGUCAAUAACUUGCCAAAGGAGAGUUGCCCUGUGGCUGGUUUAGCUUAAUCUCAUAGAAUGGUGGCAGAAAAAAGUGUCUUGUCAUACUGGAAACUAGAUGAAUUGACUAUCUAACUCUGUUGGAAAGGCUUAACUAUGGAGAAAUGUUUUUGGAAUUUGGAGGCAAGUCUCUUCUUUUUCUUUUUUUGGGGGGAACAUUUUUGUUAACAAAUGUUUUAGAUAAAGGCAGAUAGCAUAUUGCAAGGCUGAGGAAUAAUACAAGCAUGGCAAUGAAAUGAAUGAAUCAUUUUUUUUCAA